rnacentral:rRNA from 1 species
UGAGGAAUUUUCCGCAAUGGGCGAAAGCCUGACGGAGCAAUGCCGCGUGGAGGUGGAAGGCCUACGGGUCGUCAACUUCUUUUCUCGGAGAAGAAACAAUGACAGUAUCUGAGGAAUAAGCAUCGGCUAACUCUGUGCCUG